rnacentral:rRNA from 1 species
UACGAAGGUGGCUAGCGUUGUUCGGAUUUACUGGGCGUAAAGGGCGCGUAGGCGGUUUAUCAAGUCAGGGGUGAAAUCCCAAGGCUCAACCUUGGAAUGGCCUUUGAUACUGAUAGACUUAGAGUGUGAUAGAGGGCGGUGGAAUUCCCAGUGUAGAGGUGAAAUUCGUAGAUAUUGGGAGGAACACCAGUGGCGAAAGCGGCCGCCUGGAUCACAACUGACGCUGAGGCGCGAAAGCGUGGGGA